UGCUUUCAUCAAUGAGUUUAAAAAUAUUUUCUUCUUUGUAGCAAACUUCUAAAUUUUAUUGCUUCUACUUUUUCAGUCUACUUCUCUACACCUUGCUGAUUGCUUUGUAUCAGAAAGAGAUUCAUAUAAGAUGAUAAUAUGCUCCUGGAAAUAUUUCAGCAGACCAUCACAUCUCAUUCUUUAUGGUAGAAUAAUUUUUAAGCCUUCUUGAGGUGAUGUUAACCAAACUGUUCCUAACUUUUCAUCUCUUACCAAGAAGUUUCUUAUAUCAUUUCCAUGAAUUUUGUUAUGCUUGCACAACAUACCGUGAAACAUUCUGUUGGAAAAUGUGACAGAAAAGCCACUGAGAAAAUGCAGAAUUCAUUGUUUGUUACUUGCCUAAGAUGUACAUAAAGUUGAACCUGCUAAAGGUGGGAGCUGUGGACCUUAUAAGCUGGAGCUGU
rnacentral:lncRNA from 1 species